GCGAGCGACUGUGAACUAUCAAUGGUUUGGCCUGGCAAACUCUGUACAUUAUUUCUCCUUUCGCUUCUCAUCGUGGUCGCGUUAGAAUCAGUUUCCUGCGAUGAAUCGGCAGAAUCUGGCAAUCCCGUGGACGGGGAGGAACUGGAAAAACGCAAUUGGGGCUGGAAAAUCCUUCUCGGAGCUAUGAAAGGUGCUGUGAAAGGUGCUGUGAAAGCUAUGAGAUGGCGAGGAAUCGGAAGAGUCCCGAUAGAAAAACAAAAUUAUAAAUUUUGAACAACAUUAUUAAUACUGAUAAUGAAGAAAAAAGUGUUAAUCCGAUGAA